GACGAACGCUGGCGGCGUGCUUAACACAUGCAAGUCGAACGGAAAGGCCCUGCCUUUGUGGGGUGCUCGAGUGGCGAACGGGUGAGUAACACGUGAGUAACCUGCCCUUGACUUUGGGAUAACUUCAGGAAACUGGGGCUAAUACCGGAUAGGAGCUCCUGCUGCAUGGUGGGGGUUGGAAAGUUUCGGCGGUUGGGGAUGGACUCGCGGCUUAUCAGCUUGUUGGUGGGGUAGUGGCUUGCCAAGGCUUUGACGGGUAGCCGGCCUGAGAGGGUGACCGGCCACAUUGGGACUGAGAUACGGCCCAGACUCCUACGGGAGGCAGCAGUGGGGAAUAUUGCACAAUGGGCGGAAGCCUGAUGCAGCAACGCCGCGUGCGGGAUGACGGCCUUCGGGUUGUAAACCGCUUUCGCCUGUGACGAAGCGUGAGUGACGGUAAUGGGUAAAGAAGCACCGGCUAACUACGUG
rnacentral:rRNA from 1 species